CCUACGGGUGGCAGCAGUGAGGAAUAUUGGUCAAUGGACGAGAGUCUGAACCAGCCAAGUAGCGUGAAGGAUGACUGCCCUAUGGGUUGUAAACUUCUUUUAUAUGGGAAUAAAACGUUCCACGUGUGGGAUUUUGUAUGUACCCUAUUAAUAAGGAUCGGCUAACUCCGUGCCAGCAGCCGCGGUAAUACGGAGGAUCCGAGCGUUAGCCGGAUUUAUUGGGUUUAAAGGGAGCGUAGGUGGAUUGUUAAGUCAUGUGUGAAAGUUUGCGGCUCAACCGUAAGAUUGCAGUUGAAACUGGCAGUCUUGAGUACAGUAGAGGUGGGCGGAAUUCGUGGUGUAGCAGUGAAAUGCUUAGAUAUCACGAAGAACUCCGAUGGCGAAGGCAGUUCACUGGACUGCAACUGACACUGAGGCUCGAAAGUGUGGGUAUCAAACAGGAUUAGAUACCCCAGUAGUC
rnacentral:rRNA from 1 species